CCAUUAAAUAUAGAUAUUAAAGAUAUCUAAAAAAAAAAUGUUAAGUGAAAAUAUUAAAAACAAUUGUUUUCAAUAUAAAUUAUUAUUAAUACAACUUUAUUUUAAUUCUUAUUUUUGCUUGUAUAAAACUAAUUUAUGUAAUAUAAUAUUACACUUUCCAACAAUUAAGUUCAAUAUGAAAAUAAUAUGUUUUUGAGUAAAGGCUUCUUAAAUUUAUAUAAUUCAUUUUUUUAUAGUACACACACUGGAUAACUGAUAUUGUUUUCAUGAAUAUUUAAUGGUGAAGAAGUUUAAAAACACCUAUACUGAAGAGCAUAUGCGCAUUUACCUCUUUUUCAGGAUAUGAGAAGACUGCCAUUAGUGCCUCUGAAUGUUAUUUUAAGCUUGUAAAACUGAUAAAAUAUACACAAAUAUUGAAAUGUCUUACAAACUGUUUAAUUUAAAACGUAAUUUUUUCUUAAAAUUCAAAUUAAAUUACAACAUACAUAUUUUUCAAAUAUUUAAUUUAAUUCAUAAUAUGGUUUUUGAGGUCAUCGAGGACGUAGCCCUCUAUUCUCCACCCUUAAUCUGGGCCUAGUGUUCAGGAUAUGUAUUCAUAUACCCUGCAUACCCCCUGCGCACGCCUAUACCAUCAAAAGAUUGUAAGUUAGUGAAUGUAUUGUAGCAUAGUUAUCUUUAAUUAAUUAUUUAAGAAAAAAAUGUAUAAUACUAAUUAUUUUUUAUUUGUUGAACAUUCAUUUACCUGGGUAAUUUUAUUUAUUUUAUGAAUAUUAUCUAUAUCUACUUAAUAUUCUACAUAAUAUGUUGGAUAUUGUUUGUCUCAGAUAACAAAAAAUGCAUACUACAGUAAAGUAUUACUUUACAACAUUUUCAUUAACUUAACUUUAAUUUAUAAUUUAGUUAUAGUUUUAUUU